GAUGAACGCUGACAGAAUGCUUAACACAUGCAAGUCAACUAUUGCGGACGGGUGAGUAACGCGUAAAGAACUUGCCUCACAGUUAGGAACAACAUUUAGAAACGAAUGCUAGUCCCUAAUACUGUGAGAGAGCUUUGCGUCCCAUUAGGUAGUUGGAGAGGUAACGGCUCACCAAGGCGAUGAUGGGUAGCCGGCCUGAGAGGGUGAUCGGCCACAAGGGGACUGAGAUACGGCCCUUACUCCGACGGGAGGCAGCAGUGGGGAAUAGUGGACAAUGGACCAAAGUCUGAUCCAGCAAUUCUGUGUGCACGAUGAAGUUUUCGGAAUGUAAAGUGCUUUCAGUUGGGAAGCGGUACCAACAGAAGAAGUGACGGCUAAAUACGUGCCAGCAGCCGCGGUAAUAC
rnacentral:rRNA from 1 species